rnacentral:rRNA from 1 species
GAUGAACGCUGGCGGCGUGCCUAAUACAUGCAAGUCGAGCGAACGGACGAGAAGCUUGCUUCUCUGAUGUUAGCGGCGGACGGGUGAGUAACACGUGGAUAACCUACCUAUAAGACUGGGAUAACUUCGGGAAACCGGAGCUAAUACCGGAUAAUAUUUUGAACCGCAUGGUUCAAAAGUGAAAGACGGUCUUGCUGUCACUUAUAGAUGGAUCCGCGCUGCAUUAGCUAGUUGGUAAGGUAACGGCUUACCAAGGCAACGAUGCAUAGCCGACCUGAGAGGGUGAUCGGCCACACUGGAACUGAGACACGGUCCAGACUCCUACGGGAGGCAGCAGUAGGGAAUCUUCCGCAAUGGGCGAAAGCCUGACGGAGCAACGCCGCGUGAGUGAUGAAGGUCUUCGGAUCGUAAAACUCUGUUAUUAGGGAAGAACAUAUGUGUAAGUAACUGUGCACAUCUUGACGGUACCUAAUCAGAAAGCCACGGCUAACUACGUGCCAGCAGCCGCGGUAAUACGUAGGUGGCAAGCGUUAUCCGGAAUUAUUGGGCGUAAAGCGCGCGUAGGCGGUUUUUUAAGUCUGAUGUGAAAGCCCACGGCUCAACCGUGGAGGGUCAUUGGAAACUGGAAAACUUGAGUGCAGAAGAGGAAAGUGGAAUUCCAUGUGUAGCGGUGAAAUGCGCAGAGAUAUGGAGGAACACCAGUGGCGAAGGCGACUUUCUGGUCUGUAACUGACGCUGAUGUGCGAAAGCGUGGGGAUCAAACAGGAUUAGAUACCCUGGUAGUCCACGCCGUAAACGAUGAGUGCUAAGUGUUAGGGGGUUUCCGCCCCUUAGUGCUGCAGCUAACGCAUUAAGCACUCCGCCUGGGGAGUACGACCGCAAGGGUGAAACUCAAAGGAAUUGACGGGGACCCGCACAAGCGGUGGAGCAUGUGGUUUAAUUCGAAGCAACGCGAAGAACCUUACCAAAUCUUGACAUCCUUUGACAACUCUAGAGAUAGAGCCUUCCCCUUCGGGGGACAAAGUGACAGGUGGUGCGUGGUUGUCGUCAGCUCGUGUCGUGAGAUGUUGGGUUAAGUCCCGCAACGAGCGCAACCCUUAAGCUUAGUUGCCAUCAUUAAGUUGGGCACUCUAAGUUGGCUGCCGGUGACAAACCGGAGGAAGGUGGGGAUGACGUCAAAUCAUCAUGCCCCUUAUGAUUUGGGCUACACACGUGCUACAAUGGACAAUACAAAGGGCAGCGAAACCGCGAGGUCAAGCAAAUCCCAUAAAGUUGUUCUCAGUUCGGAUUGUAGUCUGCAACUCGACUACAUGAAGCUGGAAUCGCUAGUAAUCGUAGAUCAGCAUGCUACGGUGAAUACGUUCCCGGGUCU